rnacentral:rRNA from 1 species
CCUACGUGAGGCAGCAGUGGGGAAUAUUGCACAAUGGGGGAAACCCUGAUGCAGCGACGCAGCGUGAGCGAAGAAGGAUUUAGGUAUGGAAAGCUCUAUCAGCAGGGAAGAAAAUGACGGUACCUGUGUAAGACGCUCAGGCUAAAUACGUGCCAGCAGCAGCGGUAAAAAGUAUGGAGCAAGCGUUAUCCGGAUUUACUGGUCGUAAAGGGGGCGUAGGCGGCCUGCCAAGUCUGAGGUGAAAUACCGGCGGUCAACCCCGGGGCUGCAGUUGAAACUGGCAGUCUGGAGUGCCGGAGAGGCAGGCGGAAUUCCUAGUGUAGCGGUGAAAUGCGUAGAGAUUAGGAGGAACACCAGUGGCGAAGGCGGCCUGCUGGACGGUGACUGACGCUGAGGCUCGAAAGCGUGGGGAGCAAACAGGAUUAGAUACCCGGGUAGUC